CUUUUAUGGAGAGUUUGAUCCUGGCUCAGGACGAACGCUGGCGGCGUGCCUAACACAUGCAAGUCGAACGGAGAUUUUAGCAAUAAAAUCUUAGUGGCGAACGGGUGAGUAACGCGUAGACAACCUGCCUUCUAGCUGGGGACAACACCGCGAAAGUGGUGCUAAUACCGAAUGUUG
rnacentral:rRNA from 1 species